rnacentral:rRNA from 1 species
AGUGAACGCUGGCGGUAGGCCUAACACAUGCAAGUCGAACGGCAGCACAGUAAGAGCUUGCUCUUACGGGUGGCGAGUGGCGGACGGGUGAGGAAUACAUCGGAAUCUACUUUUUCGUGGGGGAUAAUGUAGGGAAACUUACGCUAAUACCGCAUACGACCUACGGGUGAAAGCAGGGGAUCUUCGGACCUUGCGCGAUUGAAUGAGCCGAUGUCGGAUUAGCUAGUUGGCGGGGUAAAGGCCCACCAAGGCGACGAUCCGUAGCUGGUCUGAGAGGAUGAUCAGCCACACUGGAACUGAGACGCGGUCCAGACUCCUACGGAAGGCGGCAGUGGGGAAUAUUGGACAAUGGGCGAAAGCCUGAACCAGCCAUACCGCGUGGGUGAAGAAGGCCUUCGGGUUGUAAAGCCCUUUUGUUGGGAAAGAAAAGCAGCAGGUUAAUACCCCGCUGUUCUGACGGUACCCAAAGAAUAAGCACCGGCUAACUUCGUG